ensembl:lncRNA
AUGAACAGACACCUGGAGAGGAGGGAGCAGCUAAAGAGACUGUCGCUGGACAGCAGCUUGGUGGGGUACAUGGAUGCCAACAAGUGCAUCGAGGAGCUACUCAAACAGCUGGACGAAGAGCGGAGGAAUGUCCGAAGGGAGAAACUGGCCGUGGCUCGCCUGCAGAGGGAAGUCGCACGAAGCAAAAGCGAAGGAACAAUGCGACAAAAGCUGAUUCACGUGCUAGAGGAAGAGCGACGCCUACGAUUGGACAGUGAGAAGCGGCUUCGGGAGGUGACGGACGAGUCGGAGCUGGGCCGAGUGCAGAUGGUUUCGCUACAGCAGCACUUCUCCAGGAUGGAAGAGACAGUGCGGACGCUGCUGCAGAACCAGGGGGUGCUGGAGCAAACAGCCGUGGACACUGUGGACAUCAUGAAGGCCUACAAGGUAACACAGCACUGCUUAGCACUCCUCCAACAUGGGCUCUCCUUCCUGCUCUUUAUAAACCAAACCGUAGAGGCUUGUGUAGGAGAAAUACUUUGUUUGGAGGAAAACUCAGUAUUGGCCAAGGAGAAUGAGAGCCAGAGGGAGCAGUAUGAGCACUGUCUGGAUGAGGUUGCCAAUCAAGUUGUGCAGGCACUACUCACCCAAAAGGAUCUAAGGGAGGAGUGUCUGAAGUUGCGGACCAGAGUGUUUGACCUGGAGCAACAAAACCGGACCAUGAGUGUCCUCUUCCAGCAGCGAGUCCGACCCGCAUCAGACCUGCUCCUGCAGAAACUCCACUCUCGGAUCAUGGAUUUGUCUGCCUCUGAUCUCCUCCUGGAGCCGGAGAGGAGCAAAAGCUUCCUGCUAUCCAGGAACACUGACUCUCCACCUCAUGCGGGACUUCCUGUGGCCAAGUGUCUGAGCCAGCUGAGUCUGACGGUGCAAGCGCCAGUCUACCCACGCAGCAGCUGUAGCAGCAGUGAGCUGUCCCUGUCUAGCGCCUGCAGUGAAUACUCCAGUGGCUCUUAUACCUGGAACGACGGACACCAACCUCUCCUCACUCUCUCUCUGUGUGUUUGUCUCGGUCUCUCUCAAUUUUUCUUUGUCUCUGUCUCUCUCAUUUAUGAACACUCCAGCAGCCAGAUGAGAACCCUGGACAGCGGGAUUGGCACCUUCCCCCUCCCUGACUCCGUCACCCGGAUCAACGGGCGCCACAUUCCCAGAUCUGAGUCCAGCCCCGACCGGAUGAUGGCGAGCGUUCACAGUCCCACUGAUCCUGACCAGGACCUCGUCUCGGCCUCUGCUGCUCAUUCCCCAUCCCAUGUGAAAGUGCCUUCCCUGUCUGAGACCCACCCGCAUGCACCACCCACCAGUGCCCUGGGCCACUCCCUGUCUGACCCUUCAGUUACUGGAAGAGGUUGUGGACAGGAAGCCUUGAGCUGCCUCCCCAGACCAUCCACCUCAGGUAAGAGUGGGGGUUCACCUCAUAUCAACAUCCCGUUACGUCCCCAUUCUAUACCCAUCUCCCAAAGCGUCGACACAGAUCAUAAACCACCUUCUGCCUGUUCUUUCACUGCAGCUACACAACAGUAUGACCGUGGGUGGGAAGGAGAGAGAGAGGGAUCACAUAGGCUGAGGGAAGUAACACUAACAAUGUACUCGUACAGUAUAGGGAUGAGUGAUCCCAGUGAUUUAUGCAAUCAGGGAAUUAGUGCCGAUCUGUGUGACCUAGGUACUGCAGUUAAGGUAGGCAUGACCAGCAGCUGUCAUUAUAAGGAAUAG